AGUGAACGCUGGCGGUAGGCCUAACACAUGCAAGUCGAACGGCAGCACAGUAAGAGCUUGCUCUUACGGGUGGCGAGUGGCGGACGGGUGAGGAAUACAUCGGAAUCUACUUUUUCGUGGGGGAUAACGUAGGGAAACUUACGCUAAUACCGCAUACGACCUACGGGUGAAAGCAGGAGAGCUUCGGACCUUGCGCGAUUGAAUGAGCCGAUGUCGGAUUAGCUAGUUGGCGGGGUAAAGGCCCACCAAGGCGACGAUCCGUAGCUGGUCUGAGAGGAUGAUCAGCCACACUGGAACUGAGACACGGUCCAGACUCCUACGGGAGGCAGCAGUGGGGAAUCUUCGACAAUGGGCGCAAGCCUGAUCCAGCCAUACCGCGUGGGUGAUGAAGGUCUUCGGGUCGUAAAGCUCUUUUGUUGGGAAAGAACAGCAGUAGGUUAAUCCCCCGCUGUUCUGACGGUACCUAAAGAAUAAGCCCCGGCUAACUUCGUG
rnacentral:rRNA from 1 species